rnacentral:rRNA from 1 species
GAUGAACGCUGGCGGUGUGCCUAAUACAUGCAAGUCGAGCGAACAGACGAGGAGCUUACUCCUCUGACGUUAGCGGCGGACGGUUGAGUAACACGUGGAUAACCUACCUAUAAGACUGGGAUAACUUCGGGAAACCGGAGCUAAUACCGGAUAACAUGUUGAACCGCAUGGUUCAACAGUGAAAGACGGUCUUGCUGUCACUUAUAGAUGGAUCCGCGUCGCAUUAGCUAGUUGGUAAGGUAACGGCUUACCAAGGCAACGAUGCGUAGCCGACCUGAGAGGGUGAUCGGCCACACUGGAACUGAGACACGGUCCAGACUCCUACGGGAGGCAGCAGUAGGGAAUCUUCCGCAAUGGGCGAAAGCCUGACGGAGCAACGCCGCGUGAGUGAAGAAGGUCUUCGGAUCGUAAAACUCUGUUAUUAGGGAAGAACAAAUGUGUAAGUAACUAUGCACGUCUUGACGGUACCUAAUCAGAAAGCCACGGCUAACUACGUG